AUGAUGCAACGUUGAAAGUUGGCCUUUGGCUAACACUGUAGGAUGGGCCCGCGGCGCAUUAGCUAGUUGGUAAGGUAACGGCUUACCAAGGCCACGAUGCGUAGCCGACCUGAGAGGGUGAUCGGCCACACUGGGACUGAGACACGGCCCAGACUCCUACGGGAGGCAGCAGUAGGGAAUCUUCCGCAAUGGACGAAAGUCUGACGGAGCAACGCCGCGUGAGUGACGAAGGCCUUCGGGUCGUAAAGCUCUGUUGUUAGGGAAGAACAAGUACCGUUCGAAUAGGGCGGUACCUUGACGGUACCUAACCAGAAAGCCACGGCUAACUACGUGCCAGCAGCCGCGGUAAUACGUAGGUGGCAAGCGUUGUCCGGAAUUAUUGGGCGUAAAGCGCGCGCAGGCGGUCUCUUAAGUCUGAUGUGAAAGCCCACGGCUCAACCGUGGAGGGCCAUUGGAAACUGGGGGACUUGAGUGCAGAAGAGGAGAGUGGAAUUCCACGUGUAGCGGUGAAAUGCGUAGAUAUGUGGAGGAACACCAGUGGCGAAGGCGGCUCUCUGGUCUGUAACUGACGCUGAGGCGCGAAAGCGUGGGGAGCGAACAGGAUUAGAUACCCUGGUAGUCCACGCCGUAAACGAUGAGUGCUAGGUGUUGGGGGCUUCCACCCUCAGUGCUGAAGUUAACACAUUAAGCACUCCGCCUGGGGAGUACGACCGCAAGGUUGAAACUCAUAGGAAUUGACGGGGGCCCGCACAAGCAGUGGAGCAUGUGGUUUAAUUCGAAGCAACGCGAAGAACCUUACCAGGUCUUGACAUCCUCUGCCA
rnacentral:rRNA from 1 species